rnacentral:tRNA from 1 species
GGUUUAGUGGUAAAAUCCGUGCUUGCCAUCAAGUAAGAUGCACGGGCCCCGAGUUCGAUUCUCGGUCCA